AGGACGAACGCUGGCGGCGUGCUUAACACAUGCAAGUCGAACGGAAAGGCCCGCUUGCGGGUACUCGAGUGGCGGACGGGUGAGUAAUGCAUCGGGAUCUACCUCAACGUGGGGGAUAACGUAGGGAAACUUACGCUAAUACCGCAUACGUCCUAAGGGAGAAAGCGGGGGACCGUAAGGCCUCGCGCGGUGAGACGAACCGAUGUUCGAUUAGCUAGUUGGUAAGGUAGUGGCUUACCAAGGCGACGAUCGAUAGCUGGUCUGAGAGGAUGAUCAGCCACACUGGAACUGAGACACGGUCCAGACUCCUACGGGAGGCAGCAGUGGGGAAUAUUGGACAAUGGGCGCAAGCCUGAUCCAGCAAUGCCGCGUGUGUGAAGAAGGCCUUCGGGUUGUAAAGCACUUUAUCAGGAACGAAAUACUACUGGUUAAUAACCGGUGGGCGUGACGGUACCUGAGGAAUAAGCACCGGCUAACUUCGUGCCAGCAGCCGCGGU
rnacentral:rRNA from 1 species